rnacentral:rRNA from 1 species
CCUACGGGUGGCAGCAGUGAGGAAUAUUGGUCAAUGGCCGGAAGGCUGAACCAGCCAUGCCGCGUGAAGGUCAGUGCCCUAUGGGCGUUAAACUUCUUUUGUGCGGGAGCAAUAAUGGUCACGUGUGGCCAGACGAGAGAACCGUAAGAAUAAGCAUCGGCUAACUCCGUGCCAGCAACCGCGGUAAUACGGGGGAUGCAAGCGUUAUCCGGAUUUAGUGGGGUUAAAGGGUGCGUAGGCGGUGAGGUAAGGCAGCGGGGAAAAGCCCCCGCUCAACGGGGUGAAGUGCCAUUGAUACUGCCUUGCUGGAAUGCGGAUGCAGUGGGAGGAAUGUGUGGUGUAGCGGUGAAAUGCUUAGAUAUCACACAGAACACCGAUUGCGAAGGCAUCUCACG